UGGGGAAUUUUGGACAAUGGGCGAAAGCCUGAUCCAGCAAUGCCGCGUGUGUGAAGAAGGCCUUCGGGUUGUAAAGCACUUUCGUCCGGAAAGAAAUCCUUGGCUCUAAUACAGUCGGGGGAUGACGGUACCGGAAGAAUAAGCACCGGCUAACUACGUGCCAGCAGCCGCGGUAAUACGUAGGGUGCAAGCGUUAAUCGGAAUUACUGGGCGUAAAGCGUGCGCAGGCGGUUUGCUAAGACCGAUGUGAAAUCCCCGGGCUCAACCUGGGAACUGCAUUGGUGACUGGCAGGCUAGAGUAUGGCAGAGGGGGGUAGAAUUCCACGUGUAGCAGUGAAAUGCGUAGAGAUGUGGAGGAAUACCGAUGGCGAAGGCAGCCCCCUGGGCCAAUACUGACGCUCAUGCACGAAAGCGUGGGGAGCAAACAGGAUUAGAUACCCUGGUAGUCCACGCCCUAAACGAUGUCAACUAGUUGUUGGGGAUUCAUUUCCUUAGUAACGUAGCUAACGCGUGAAGUUGACCGCCUGGGGAGUACGGUCGCAAGAUUAAAACUCAAAUGGAAUUGACGGGGUCAUAGCUGUUU
rnacentral:rRNA from 1 species